CACCUUUGAGUAAGUACCUUAGAAAUAGAAUAAAUCAA
rnacentral:sRNA from 1 species